GAAAUGCGAUAAGUAGUGUGAAUUGCAGAAUUCAGUGAAUCAUCGAAUCUUUGAACGCACAUUGCGCCCUUUGGUAUUCCUUAGGGCAUGCCUGUUCGAGCGUCAUCUAAACCCUCAAGCCCUGCUUGGUGGUGGGUGCCUGUCCCGCCCCCGUGCGCGGACUCACCUCAAAUCCAUUGGCGGCCCUCGUGCCGGCCCCGAGCGCAGCAGAAACGCGGUCUCGUGGCCCGGCGGAGCGUGCCCCCAGAAGCAACAUUCACCGUUUUGACCUCGGAUCAGGUAGGGAUACCCGCUGAACUUAAGC
rnacentral:misc_RNA from 1 species